rnacentral:lncRNA from 1 species
AUGAGGGGAAAGUUAUUUAUUAUAACUGUAAUCGAACAAAAACAGGUAAACCGAGCUCACAACAGAGAGUACGGCAGCUGAAAAGUCAGGCAAGUUGUAAAUUGGAUAGUGCCUGCACGAGUGUUUUAAAACUGAGACAUAAUGAAAAAAAGUUUUAUGUACAUUUUCAAAAAACACAUUAUGGCCACAAUUUAGAUUUACAACACUUAAGAAUAUCAAAACAUGACAAAGGACUAAUUG